rnacentral:misc_RNA from 1 species
GAUGAAGAACGUAGCGAAAUGCGAUAAGUAAUGUGAAUUGCAGAAUUCCGUGAAUCAUCGAAUCUUUGAACGCAUAUUGCGCCCUCUGGUAUUCCGGAGGGCAUGCCUGUUCGAGCGUCAUUUGUACCUUCAAGCUUUGCUUGGUGUUGGGUGUUUGUCUCGCCUUUGCGUGUAGACUCGCCUUAAAAUAAUUGGCAGCCGGCGUAUUGAUUUCGGAGCGCAGUACAUCUCGCGCUUUGCACUCAUAACGACAGCGUCCAAAAGUACAUUUUACACUCUUGACCUCGGAUCAGGUAGGGAUACCCGCUGAACUUAAGCAUAUCAAUAAGCGGAGGA